rnacentral:rRNA from 1 species
UUUCCUUGUCCCUCCCGCCUAUAUACACACCGUCGUCAGCUUACCCUGUGAAGGACUCAUAGUAAGCAAGAUUGGCAUAGCCCAAAACGUCAGGUCGAGGUGUAGCGUAUGGAAAGGGAAGAAAUGGGCUACAUUCCCUAACACAGGGAACUACGAAUGAUACACUGAAACAUGUAUCUGAAGGAGGAUUUAGCAGUAAGCAGAAAAAAGAGCGUUCCGCUGAAACCGGCCCUGAAGCGCGCACACACCGCCCGUCACUCUCCCCGAGCUCAUCAACCCCAAAUACUUAAGACCUAAAAACUGCAAAGGGGAGGCAAGUCGUAACAUGGUAAGUGUACCGGAAGGUGCACUUGGAAAAAU